UUAAUAUGGCAGAAUAGUGCUAUAGACUUAAACUCUAUCCAUAAAGAUACCAAAUCAUCUUUUAUUAAA
rnacentral:tRNA from 1 species